rnacentral:rRNA from 1 species
CGCGAGAGUAAGCUAAUCUCUUAAAGCCGUUCUCAGUUCGGACUGUAGGCUGCAACUCGCCUACACGAAGUCGGAAUCGCUAGUAAUCGCGGAUCAGCAUGCCGCGGUGAAUACGUUCCCGGGCCUUGUACACACCGCCCGUCACACCAUGGGAGUUUGUAACGCCCAAAGUCGGUGGCUUAACCUUUAUGGAGGGAGCCGCCUAAGGCGGGACAGAUGACUGGGGUGAAGUCGUAACAAGGUACC